rnacentral:rRNA from 1 species
AUGUCAGAUGACUAUCGUCAAACACGCACAUCACCGAACGAGGUGGAGCAGCUGGUGUUGCUUGACAUUAGGGGUAUGUUGCAGUCCGUGGGUAAAGACAUUGUUGAUUUUGCUCUUCCAAGCAUCGAUGAUGCCUUUGACCCAACCGAGGGCGAGUGUCGAGAGGUCAUAGAGGAAUCAACCGUUCAGUUUGACAUGGAUGACACUAAAUUGGCAGCUUCCCUGAACUUGGAACAGAGGGCCGCAUACGAUGAGAUACUGGUGGUUAUUGAAUGCAGUGAUGGGGGUGUAUUCUUUGUUGAUGGCCCUGGAGGUACAGGGAAGACCUUCCUUUAUAGGGCGAUGCUUGCCACAGUCAGGAGCCAGGGCAAUAUUGGUAUCGCUACUGCAACGUCCGGCGCCGUCGCUUCUAUCAUGCCUGGCGGCAGGACUGCGCACUCGAGGUUCAAGAUCCCAUUGAGUUGUGAUGAUGGGGCCUCAUGCAGCUUCACCAAGUAG